GACGAACGCUGGCGGCGUGCUUAACACAUGCAAGUCGAGCGGUAAGGCCCUUCGGGUACACGAGCGGCGAACGGGUGAGUAACACGUGGGUGACCUGCCUCUAGCUCUGGGAUAAGCCUGGGAAACUGGGUCUAAUACCGGAUAUGACUCCACGGCGCAUGUUGUGGGGUGGAAAGCCUUGUGUGGCUAGAGAUGGGCCCGCGGCCUAUCAGCUUGUUGGUGGGGUGAUGGCCUACCAAGGCGACGACGGUAGCCGGCCUGAGAGGGCGACCGGCCACACUGGGACUGAGACACGGCCCAGACUCCUACGGGAGGCAGCAGUGGGGAAUCUUGCGCAAUGGGCGAAAGCCUGACGCAGCGACGCCGCGUGGGGA
rnacentral:rRNA from 1 species